AAGAAGCCUGAGUUGGACGUGAUUGCUCUGGCAUUUCGUAGGCUGUGGAGGGACACAGGACCAUGGAGCCCUCAUGCUGAAGAUCCAGCCCAAACAGCACCGUCUGCAGAGCUGAGCUUCCCCUCGCAUGGCAGAAAGCCACGCGUGUGCACAAAUGCAUCCCUGGGCAUGUUACGUGGAGGAAGUAGAAACAAAAGAUAGGAAAGAGACAACUUCAGGCCAGCCCACAGCCUCACGGUUAAGGCAGCCGAAUCCCACAGGAGAGACUGAUGUUCCAGUGAGAAAAUAAAACCGGUCGGAACUACACACCACGGUCCAUGGACACAGCGAGACAGUACGAAACAGGACCGACUCGCUAAGAAGAGCUGUGCUCAGCUGGGAGCCAGUGCUGCGCAGAUAAGGAGGGGAACCAGGGCCAGCAUGCAACAUGGUGAUUAAGAGCCCUUGUCCUGCGAUCAGCCCUCCCAACAACUUCUGUGCACCCUGUGCUCUCACGACCUCACUGCGUGGAGUUGUAAAGCCGGUCUCCAGGGCUCGUCCGUUUCGCUUGGCUGAAACUUUA